rnacentral:rRNA from 1 species
GACGAACGCUGGCGGCGUGCUUAACACAUGCAAGUCGAGCGGUAAGGCCCUUUCGGGGGUACACGAGCGGCGAACGGGUGAGUAACACGUGGGUGACCUGCCCUCAGCUCUGGGAUAAGCCUGGGAAACCGGGUCUAAUACCGGAUAUGACUCCAUGACGCAUGUUGUGGGGGUGGAAAGCCUUGUGCGGCUGAGGAUGGGCCCGCGGCCUAUCAGCUUGUUGGUGGGGUGAUGGCCUACCAAGGCGACGACGGGUAGCCGGCCUGAGAGGGCGACCGGCCACACUGGGACUGAGACACGGCCCAGACUCCUACGGGAGGCAGCAGUGGGGAAUUGUUCGCAAUGGCGCAAGCCUGACGACGCAACGCCGCGUGGAGGAUGAAGGUCUUCGGAUUGUAACUCUGUUGCCGGGACGAAUGCUCCGACCUAACACGUCGGAGUGUGACGGUACCGGGUGA